ensembl:lncRNA
GUCCUGGGAUGCUGCGGUGCCGGGUCCGCUUCACACCCGUAUCACGACCGCGAAUCUCCGAGCUGCUCAGGUUCCACUACUGCUGAGAGUGCUUUUAAACGGCCGGGGAAUGGUGCAGGGCUGGGGCUGGAAGGGGAAGUCUGCUGGUCCACCGCAGCGGCGAGCAAUUUGGAUGGCGCCAGGCGCUCAGGGGCAGCUGUGAGCCGAACCGGUCCGCUCCCGGGAUGGGCUCGGGCAUAAAACGGCGGAAAUAGAUGAGGGGCAUCCUAGUUUAGAAGGAGGACAUCGCUGAGCCGGCGGUCCGAGAAUCGACUGCUUGCCCGCACGCGUAGUGAUUAUUAGAAACAGUUGCUGGUUUUAAGUUGUCGGGCGCAUGCUCGCUAUUACCUGGAGGACUAAUCACAAUAGAGAGCGGCGGAUUAGCUGCACAGAGCGGUUAAAAAGCAACUUCCGCAUUUCUAUGCGCAUGCGUCGUGCUGCCUGCCGGACUAAACAGCAGACAGCUGCAGUUCCGCGCAUUGGCCACGAGGUGGCAGCAGAGACCGGGAAAAGAACUUGGACGUGAUUGAUGCGGCCCGCGGCGCAAUCGCUGGCGAUCUGUUCUCUCUUGUGAUGACGGGGAAAGAACACGAAAUUAGAAGUGGAGGGAAGUGGGGGUGAAGACGGAGAAAACAGAGGGAAACUUCUCCAAAGUCAGGAAAGCUGUGCUAAGUGCCUUACAAAAAAAAAAAAAAAAUUACUUUUUGCCAGCAUCUGUUGCACUGUUUUUAAAUAUUCACAUACCAAAAUUUAACUGCCCAGUAAAUUUAACGAUAACAAAAUCAAAGCACACUGUCAGAAAGCAGAGUGCCAUCUUGGUGUUCACUCAGCCUCUGUCUUGUUCAUACUUUAAUGUAUUUGUUUCCAGGUGCAUUUCUCCAACUCCAAGUUUCAUUUUUUUUUCUUUUUAUUCUUUGUAAUGCCAUGAAAUGGGUACUUUUAGGCCCUAGCAAGUCUAAACAUGCUGACGUUGCACAAAGCUGCAGUUUUGAGAUUCGUGUGGACCAUUACAUUGUUUCCACAAAGAUUAAUGAAAACUGCAAUUUUCAUUAAGCUGUCCACCUCAGUUUACAGCUGGAAAACAAUAAUUCACAUGCACAGAAAGAAUCAAUGUGUCACAGCUACCUCUGGAAGACAGCCUGAGAGUUGUGCAGGUCCAUCAGGCUCAGCUGCAGCUUUUCAUCUGCCCUUCUCUGGCCCUCCUGCAGCUGGAGAGAGAGCACAAGAAGGCACGUGGUCUGCAUGGUUCUUGAGCUCUUCCCACUGCAGGAGCUUAGAAGUGACAACCUGACCCAAAAAGGUGAUAAACACGCCUGUACUCUUCUGUGCAGCAGCGAGCUCCAGGGAUGAAGCAGCACAGAGGAAACCAACAGACCGUGGGACAGAACACAAGGGGGAAAAGCACUUCUGCUCACACACGUACAAAGGAAAUCAAAACGGCUCCUUCGAGAAGAGCCUGUUGGGUAAACCCAGCCUCAGAGACACAAAUGCAUCUGGUUCCAGUAAAUAUUACGGCCCGUUGUUGAUGAAACGCUCUUCUGCUGCUUGGAGAGCACGGAGCACGCUGUGUUGACAGGCACAGCAGCGCCGUGCCCAAGUGAGCACACAAACCUCCCCAGCACCCCUGGCCAAUGCUGCCAGGGAAAUGCACGACCUGCAGCCCCACAUGGCUCGCUGCACAGACACUGGGGGGCUGUCUUAGUCUCAGGUGGGAUCGAUUUUUCUUCAGUGUCUGCUAUGAUGCUACAACUGUGAUAACACUCUGACGUUUAGAGUUUCUGAUAAGCAGACUUGUACAGAGCCAAGGCCGUUCUCAGCAAAGCUCUCAAGAAGGAGCUGGGAGGAAACCAAAUUAGGACAGCUGACGUCAACGGGCCAAAGGGAUAUUCCAUACCAUAUGACAUCAAGUGGAAGGGGUUUUGAAGGGGGUGGGAGUUCAUCUCACUCUCUUCCUCUGCUUGGCCAUUGGUUGGGAGGUGCUGAGCCACUGCUUCUACAUCACUUGUUACAUACAUUCAUAAAUAGACAUAUAUAUUACUUCUAGCCUUCCUUUUCUCUUCCUUUGGAAAGAGAUUUCUCUCAAGGCAUGAGUUCCACUUCCUUUUUUUUCCCCUCAUAAUUCUCUCCCCCAUCCCAUUGGGAAGGGGGGAGUAAGCAAAGGACUGUGUGGUGCUGAGCCACCCACCGGCUUAAACCACAACAGGGCCGUGGGGCAAUGGCAGCAGACGUGAAGUGCACUGGGCUCAGCAGGAAAUGAAAACCAUCUUGAGGUACGCAAGCCCACUGUUUCAUUUUCCAGAAAACAACCUAUGGUGUCAAUGAAACAUGCCCCUCACUAGGAACAUCUGCAAGGAUGCUUUGAAUGACUGAGGGCAUUGCACCCCAUUAACGUCACCCUGCCGACACAAUGUCAUUGCAAACACAGCAGCAACUCCUGGCACCGAUACCUCCGGGUACAACAAGCACAGGGCACUGGGUUGCUUUGGAUGCAGUUUGAGAAAGGACGUGAGGGCUUUGUGGAAAGCGCCUUGCAGAGCACAUCAUGUCCUGCACCAGGCAGAGCGCUGUGCAUCUCUCAUCUCUCCAAACUUUGGGGCUUUGAAGCUGCACCUUGUUUCUUGGCAGUUUGUCCCCCACAACUCCAGAGCACUUUCAGCUGCUCCCUGGCAAUUCAUGGCUUGCACAGUACCAAACACAACAAAGAAAGGAGGCAAGAAAGAAGCAACAGCCAUGGCUAUGCACAGAAGCGGCCAGGAAGGGUUCAGCAGAAGAAUGAAACCUGCACAAGUCAACUCAACAGAUUCCAAGGAAUUCAGUGACAUCUGACACAAUUUGGAACGCCAGAAGCACUGCCACGCAAACAGCACCGUAUUUGGAAAGCAGCACGUCCAAAUCAGCCCCCUUGCCCUGCUCUACCCGCUCAGCCCAACACAGAAAUCAAACACAGAAACUCUGAUGCUUUGGCUCAUGACAGCCAUCAGGCCCACGCUUUAGCGACACGGAGAACUCCAUCUCCAGCUACUCUGUGUCUCGCUAAGCACAAGCUGGGCUGGGAGCCGUCGCUCAGCCUGACACCACAAGCAGAAAAGAAGCGUACAUAAGCAGAUGCUGUUAUCCACACGUGCAAGUCCGGGGGUGAAGAAUAAAAGGCUCACUGGGCCAUGGGCAAAGCAGGGAGCAGAUAGGCAGGAAACAGGAAGGAGUUGAAGUCCAGCUCUCCUACACCAAAGACAGGGAGAGCUGAGUCAGCACCACGGGAGGACUUACGACACAGCUUAAGAGCUUACAGAGACCUGAGAUUGCCAAAGGAGGCUGCCAGGGGAACUCUCACCAGUCUUUUGCAGGGCUCUCACGGAUGCUUCCCAUGCUGACUUCCACUGCCUACGUCAUUUGUAGAAAGCCCAGGUGACAAACGCUCAUUUUGUCUGGGUAACGCUUCUAUGCUUCCACGGUUAUCACUGAAACAAAAGAAAAAAAAAAAAAAGCAUGCCACCCUAUGAAAUUUGCCUCUCUACUGCUGCUGUCUGCGUGUCAUCUAAGAUGAGCAUUACGCAUUCCUGCACCUGACUGAAGAUUCAUCCAAGUCUGCGUUCCACACAGCUCCAUCCCAGUGCCAAAAAGAAACAUGUACUGAGAUGUUUAGAAGAUUCUUUGUGCAGAUACAAGUGCAGGGUGCAUGUGUAUUCUCUACAGCAAGAAAUAGGAAUUUCUCAAGCAGUACAACAAAAGGUCAAUGCAAAGGAUACAUAGGAUGAACUCUCUUCAUAUAAAAAAUCCUUGCUAAACCUCUCCCCAGCAAAAGGAAGCCUUCUGGGCAUUGCUAGCAGCAGUUCCCAGAACAUCUUGCACCACCAAAUGCAACACACUCCUUUUUUUCCACACGCCCCUCAUUUCUCUCAUCAGCGUCAGAUUCACUCCAGUUCAAUACACCCAUCAGGACAGCCCUUCCGUUCUGCUGAGGUAGGAACCCACUGCUGGGAUGUCCCCCACUCCCGUUCCCAGCUAUGUCCAGCACUUGUGGGGAGAGGAAGAGCAACUGACAUCACCUACCCAGACUUCUUGCAGGGCCUUCCAUACGCUCUCACGUCACAGGUAGAAGCUGCAGAGCUCUCGUGGCACAAAGCUCACAGAAGGCUGGAGAAAUCAAGGUUGCCUCUAAGGUGCUGCAAGUACUCGAGGUGAGGACUCACCAGUGCUGAGUACAGGAGGAUGAUCACUUCCCUGCUCCUGCUAGCUCCAGCCCUUUGCAUUGCACUUCCAGUCUAAACCGUCCCUUCUGCGCUACUGCUCGGAUCCUCACUUGGGGCUGGAGCUCAAGAGGUCAACACAACGGAAAUAGCACAGCGUGCAACUGGAAGACGUGUCUCAAAGCCCACAAGAGUCAACUCUCUCACCUUGGGCACAGCUCACCAAAGAGGCCAAAGAGGUUCCUGUCCCUACGCCUCAUCCCUUUACCCCAACUUCCCUUGCCUCAUCCCCUACCCCUAUUCCUCCGUGAUGCCCACAGGCUUCAAGUCAGCUCUCAGAGCCAUAGGACUCCUUGCACAUGACUCCAUCACAAAGGAUGGCACACUUGUUCCAUACACUCAAACGGACCAAGCAGUGGCAUCACACUCACUUGAAACACACACACAGAAGCAGCCAAACCCUGAGCACGCACAUCCCCUCCUGCACUACUGGAGCCCACCGCUCACCUUCACACCUCCGUGCAUUUCUGCUGUUUUACACUGAUGCAGCCCCACUACAGCUCCAUGCGUGUCACACAAGGCCUGCAGGACCUCUUGCUCCGCAAACCCCAUCUGCAGGCAUUGCUUCAUGAGCUUCACCACCUGCCCUCCUGAGCAAAAACAAACACUGAGAACAAGAGCAAAGCGCACUGGAUUCCACCUGGCCUGCUCCCCAAGCCUCAGUCCUGCCACACAUACCCUGCUAAGCAGACUCAUCCCUAGUGCCUGGCUGGACAUCAGCACGGGCAUCAUCCUUCAAACGCCCCAGCCCAGCAAGCAAGGGAUCAAAGCGUUGCGACAGCUGAAACCAAAAUGCUCUGGGACAUUCCCAUUAGCACUGACCGUGAACAAAUCUACCACCGAGCAACAGGAUGUGGGACAAACAGCAGAAAACAACCAACCUGCAGAACUAACUCCUGUCGCGUUGGUCCAGAUGUUUGUAUGCUCCCUUCCAUGGCCCAGGCCAAGCUUGCUGAGCUGCUCCUCCUUUGUGCAUGGGAACAACGGUGCAGAUGGGAUGCGCUGCCUAUGCACAGCAUGCCUUUUACUCGCUUUUCCUCUCUCCAUCUUCCAUUACCAAACAGCACCUCAAAUCUCUCCUUGCUAAAAAAAUCACUUGGGUAAAAAAAGAACUGGCAACCUUGCUCUUAAAAUUACCUUCUUUAUACAACUUGAUGCUUUAAAGCAGAAGCUCCCCUAGGAAGGACUUACCUUAGACAAGCUCCAUCUGUGGGGAAAACUUAUUCCUCUGUGUCUGAAGACUUGGCACGCAUUUUCAGCUGCAAUAGUCAGCCCAGAUCUCAGCACAGCUUUACCAACCACAGAAAGCCAGUUCAUGGCCGCCAUGAUUUUCUCUCUUCUGAAACAGUCUACUGCUGCAAGAAGCAACGGUUACAAUCACAGAAUCACAGAACUGGAGGGGCUGGAAGAGAUCCCUAGAGAUCAUCGAGUCCAACUCCCCCCCCCUGCUCAACAGGCUCCGUACAGCAGGCUGCACAGGUGGGCAUCCAGCUGGGUCUGGAGUAUCUCCAGGGAAGGAGAAUCCACAGCCUCGCUGGGCAGCCUGUUCCAGUGCUCCGUCACCUCACUGUGAACAAGUUCCUUCCCACGUCGGUGCAGAACUUCCUGUACUCCAGUUUAGGGCCAUUCCCCCCCUCUCCUGACCCCACAGACCACUGAAAAAAAGGUUGCCCAUGUCCUUUUGACUCCCACGCCCUCCUUAGCCCCGGUUCUGG